rnacentral:rRNA from 1 species
UACGUAGGCAGCGAGCGUUGUUCGGAGUUACUGGGCGUAAAGGGUGUGUAGGCGGUUAUUUAAGUUUGGUGUGAAAUCUCCCGGCUCAACCGGAGGGUGCGCCGAAGUACUGAAUGACUUGGAGUUGCGGGAGGAGGUGAGUGGAAUUCCUGGUGUAGCGGUGAAAUGCGUAGAUAUCAGGAGGAACACCUGUGGUGUAGACGGCUCUCUGGACCGCAACUGACGCUGAGACACGAAAGCGUGGGUAGCAAACAGG